rnacentral:rRNA from 1 species
GAUGAACGCUGGCGGCGUGCUUAACACAUGCAAGUCGAACGAAGCACUUUAUUUGAUUUCCUUCGGGACUGAUUAUUUUGUGACUGAGUGGCGGACGGGUGAGUAACGCGUGGGUAACCUGCCUUGUACAGGGGGAUAACAGUUGGAAACGGCUGCUAAUACCGCAUAAGCGCCCAGCAUCGCAUGAUGCAGUGUGAAAAACUCCGGUGGUAUAAGAUGGACCCGCGUUGGAUUAGCUAGUGGGUGAGGUGACGGCCAACCAAGGCGACGAUCCAUAUCCGACUGCACAGGGUGACCGGCCUCAUCAGGAAGUGCACACGGCCCAUAACCCUGCUGGAUGCAGCCGUGGCGCCGAUUAAACAAUGGUCGAAGGCCAACUGCAGCGACGCCGUGUGAGUGAAGCAGUGAUUAGGUAUGGAAAGCUCUAUUAGCAGGGCAGAUAAUGACGGUACCUUACUAAGAAGCACCGGCUAAAUACGUG